GUGACACUCGUUUAAUUAUAAUAAUUUUUCAGGGGAUUGAAAAUGAAAACAUACUUGAAAAUUAUGAAAACGAGUUUCCGCCACUUAUCGAAGCUGAACUUGCACCUAAACCCCAUAAUCAGGAACUUUGGAGUCAAGUUGUCUCAAAUCCAACACUCAUUUAUGGGUUGGCAUCCUCUGAAGCUCCUGAAAAUUGUUAUGUCCAGAGGGUGAGUAAAACUGUUAAUUCAAUGAUUACCCCAUUUUAUCGGAUCCUUUUUUAUUAAAUUCAGGUUGCUGUAGACAAAAACACAAAAUAUAUUAGUAAUAGUGUCACUCUCGAGUUGAUUUAGAUUAUAAGACAAAGCUUUUUUAAGUCGAUGAAAAUUACAGGAAAAUGAUUACUCAUGUGAAAAGACGACAACUGGGGUUGGAGUUCUUAUACUGAAACAGAAAAACAGUAAAUGUAAAACAACACAAGCUCAGAGAUUCAAGGAGAAAGAAAAAAAACAAAAAGCUUAUAAAGCUAAGGUGAGUAAAAACAAACAUGGACAAUGCAGAACAGAAUCCCUAUCAUUUGGAAUUAAUUUACACAACGGAUUCGAAAGACUAAGCCUACGAGAACAGCUGUGCAACAAUUCAAAAAAUGAAGAAUGUCAUUCAUACGAAAAUAGGACAACAGGGGAUGAAGCUGUCGCACCAAAAAAGAAACCCAUUAGAAAAACAAGAGCUCAGCGAAACAAAAAGAAAGAAGAAAAACGAAAAGU